AGAGGGAGAGGGGGUGGGGAAGAGCGCUAGCAGCGGCGGCGAGCGGUCCGUCUCGCACGCGCGGGCACCGCGCUGGUCCUGGGCUGCAGGUUUUCCCAGAUGAUGGCAUCCGAGAACUUAAACAAAGAAGGCCGCCGCCGGCGCGCGGCGGCUGCAGAAAGUUGCGGUGGCGGAUUUCCAAGGAGCGUGGCCACGACCCGAGCUCUUGGUGAGGCGAGCCCCCCCUUCCCACCCCCGCCGAGACGAGGACGGGGGCCGGCUGGUGAAGGGAAGAGGAAACUUUGAAACCACUGGGGACACAUCUGUCUAUAGACCUAUCGUGAACGCCUAGAGCCUCCGAGGGAACGCCAACGUUUAGGCCGGACACUAAGAACAACUGCUGGGAAAAUAAUAAAACACCAACCCCAACCGUCAGCAACAAGGAAAAAUGUCGCAUCAGACUGUGACUGUUGCGAGGAGAAUGAAAAAGGACUCUUGUUUCAGAGGCAACCUAGAGCUCCGGCAAUAGCAACUUCAGAGAAAUGCACCAUCGCAAGAAGUUUUCCUAGGACAGAACAAAACUUGAAACGACAGGACCAGAGGGGGAGAACAGGAGCCAGCCUCCCCUCUCCACACAGGAGAACAGCCAACAUCACCACGCCUUCAAGGACGAGAAAAGUUUUACUACUCUAAGGCAGAACGCGUGAAAUGUGUUCCUGAGGAGGAGAGAAGAGAGCGGACCAGGAAAGGAGCGGGCCGGUGGCUGGUUAUCCAUAAUUUGGCCAAGGAAGAAAGGAACAGCUUCUUUCUUUGUUGUCUCCCUGAACCUUCACUUAGCAGGUGGACUGAGCCCCGCGGCAGGGCAGAGUCCGCGCUCGCCGGAGGACAGGAGGAGGAGCGGGUACCCGCGCGCCCCGGGAGAGCGCCCCAAGUGCAGGUCCCCGCCCCGCCUGGUGAGCCCCGCUGGAGCAAGCCGAGCGCGCCGGGGUUGGGGGGUGGCCACGACCCCCCCUGAAAGGGCUGGCCACGGAGCGCGCCCCGAGAAGCGAGUCCCCCUCCCCAGAGCGCUGCUCCUGCUGCUGCUGUUGCUGCUGACCAAGGCCGGCCGGCGACCCCCGCGCCCUGC